GCUUAACACAUGCAAGUCGAGGGGCAGCAUGGUCUUAGCUUGCUAAGGCCGAUGGCGACCGGCGCACGGGUGAGUAACACGUAUCCAACCUGCCGUCUACUCUUGGACAGCCUUCUGAAAGGAAGAUUAAUACAAGAUGGCAUCAUGAGUCCGCAUGUUCACAUGAUUAAAGGUAUUCCGGUAGACGAUGGGGAUGCGUUCCAUUAGAUAGUAGGCGGGGUAACGGCCCACCUAGUCUUCGAUGGAUAGGGGUUCUGAGAGGAAGGUCCCCCACAUUGGAACUGAGACACGGUCCAAACUCCUACGGGAGGCAGCAGUGAGGAAUAUUGGUCAAUGGGCGAGAGCCUGAACCAGCCAAGUAGCGUGAAGGAUGACUGCCCUAUGGGUUGUAAACUUCUUUUAUAAAGGAAUAAAGUCGGGUAUGGAUACCCGUUUGCAUGUACUUUAUGAAUAAGGAUCGGCUAACUCCGUGCCAGCAGCCGCGGUAAUACGGAGGAUCCGAGCGUUAUCCGGAUUUAUUGGGUUUAAAGGGAGCGUAGAUGGAUGUUUAAGUCAGUUGUGAAAGUUUGCGGCUCAACCGUAAAAUUGCAGUUGAUACUGGAUAUCUUGAGUGCAGUUGAGGCAGGCGGAAUUCGUGGUGUAGCGGUGAAAUGCUUAGAUAUCACGAAGAACUCCGAUUGCGAAGGCAGCCUGCUAAGCUGCAACUGACAUUGAGGCUCGAAAGUGUGGGUAUCAAACAGGAUUAGAUACCCUGGUAGUCCACACGGUAAACGAUGAAUACUCGCUGUUUGCGAUAUACUGCAAGCGGCCAAGCGAAAGCGUUAAGUAUUCCACCUGGGGAGUACGCCGGCAACGGUGACACUCAAAGGAAUUGACGGGGGCCCGCACAAGCGGAGGAACAUGUGGUUUAAUUCGAUGAUACGCGAGGAACCUUACCCGGGCUUAAAUUGCAGAUGAAUUACGGUGAAAGCCGUAAGCCGCAAGGCAUCUGUGAAGGUGCUGCAUGGUUGUCGUCAGCUUGUGCCGUGAGGUGUCGGCUUAAGUGCCAUAACGAGCGCAACCCUUGUUGUCAGUUACUAACAGGUUCCGCUGAGGACUCUGACAAGACUGCCAUCGUAAGAUGUGAGGAAGGUGGGGAUGACGUCAAAUCAGCACGGCCCUUACGUCCGGGGCUACACACGUGUUACAAUGGGGGGUACAGAGGGCCGCUACCACGCGAGUGGAUGCCAAUCCCCAAAACCUCUCUCAGUUCGGACUGGGGUCUGCAACCCGACUCCACGAAGCUGGAUUCGCUAGUAAUCGCGCAUCAGCCACGGCGCGGUGAAUACGUUCCCGGGCCUUGUACACACCGCCCGUCAAGCCAUGGGAGCCGGGGGUACCUGAAGUGCGUAACCGCGAGGAGCGCCCUAGGGUAAAACUGGUGACUGGGGCUAAGUC
rnacentral:rRNA from 1 species